UAUUAGGAGUGUGCUUCACUUAGAUUCUGUUUGGUUUAUAUCAAGCUUCAGAAGCCUCCAUUUUAUGCUUGUUUCUUUGACAUAACAAAGAGAAGUAUGCGGAAGAAUGCAAGGUAAGACACCAUUUUGUUGGUCCUUUUAAUUCCUAAAUCCAAAGACAUUUGAAUAGUACAUUUUCUUUAUCAAAACUAAUGAACAUCUCUCACCUCCUUCCUUAGAUAUGUGCCAGUCCCUUCACUGUGUUCUGCUGGUGUCCAGGAACGAGGAUGUGCUUCAAGAAGACCUGCAGGUGUGUCAGACCUGCAGCAAGAUGGUCUGUCAUACCUGGAGUAUGAUAGGGAACUCUGACAGGACACGGCCGGUGGGUCUCCUGGGUAAGGCCCCCUGCUCCAGUGAGAUGCUGCUGAAGCUCGCCCUACUACAAGAGGAAUAGACCCCACAUCUGCUCCUUCUGGGUGAAGGGAGAGUGCAAGAGAGGAGUGUCCCUACAGGUGAGAAUGCCAUUAAACGAUAGCUCUAUCUCUUUUUAAGCGCUACAGUUGGGUCCUGUUUAUACAGUCCAAUGACUAAAUACAGCCCUGGCUACCUCCUGUCUGUAUGACUUGUAAUGAUGUUGAAAUUUCACUUGGUGGUGAUGUUGAGCAAUAAAUCAACCUGCAUUGACUGGGGACAACUCUCUUCCUUCCUGCUCUCUCUCUACAACCCCAUGCACGAGAGGCCCACAGACCCAGACGAUCCCCUGGCAGAAUAGAACAUUAUGGACCGUUACUAUGGUAUCAACAACCCUGUGGCUGACAAGCUGCUGAAACGAGCCUCCACCAUGCCCCAACCAUGCCCCAACUGGAUACGCCCGAGGAUAAGACCAUCACCACACUCGACAUAGGGGGGCUUCCAAAAUAUCCGACAAGGACAAUUUUUUGGGGCAGUUUCAACGAUCUGUGACAGUCGGUUGUGGUGUGCUCCUACAGGAAUCGCUUCUACCAGUUUGGGGAGAUCUGGACCACCACCAUCGUCCAGAAGCAGCAGUGUGCCUUCAUCUAGUUUGCCACAUGGCAGGCGGCUCAGCUCGCCGCUUAGAAGUCCUUCAACAAGCUCAUUAUCAACCAUGGACGUAGACUCACCGUCAAAAGUGGGGCAGGUUUUAGUGGUCCUAUGUUUCACAUGGGUUUCAUGGGUCCCCCUCUUCCCCCUUCAUGGGUAUGAGAUCCCCAGAACACAUCCACUACCCUUCUCAGGACCUCCAGCGCAUAGGAGCCCACGCUGCCCGUCACGGCGACUAGUUGCCAUGUCGGUUCUUCGCUAUGCCAAACAGUCGAGAGAAUUGUUCUGGGCAGACGUUUCCCUUAGGCACAGAUCUAGGAUCAGCUUACCUUCCCCCAAUCCUCGCCAUAGUUAUUAGGGGGAAAAACACCGAACUGACCUGGGAUCUGCUUCCAGGGGCAACGUCAUCAUCCUACGUAUUGAGGUUCACAAGGGUGUUACAAAAUGUCUGCCCACUCACUCAGUUUAACCAUAUCUCAGCAGUGGAUUUGAGUUAACAGCAAACAACUAAAGGCGUGAAAUCAAAUCCAACUCAAUCUGGGAAUUUGGUAUCAUAAGUGCAUUCUUUCAAGUUUUAAGGGCUACUGUGUUUUGUGCAUGGUGGUGCAUAAUGUCAUCUGUAUACCCACCUGUCAUGGAUCAGUGUAUUUCGUGUACAUCAUAAGAGUUGUUGAAAUGUGCCAAGCAUCCUGCAGAGUCGAUCUCUUGAGAGGAACAUUUUUAUAUUCUCAUUCAUAUUAUACAUUUGUUUCUCACUUUGAUACAAUUUUUUUCCCACAACAUGAUUAAGUUUAUUAUUGUAAUGUUUCACGUAUG